GCCGGGCGUUGUGGCGUGCGCCUGUAAUCCAGUUACUUGGAGGCUUGGGUUGGAGGACGGUGUGAGAUUGGGAGCUCUGUGGCGCUCUGUCCUAUGUCGAUCGGACGUCCGCGCUAAGCUCGUCGUCAAUAUGGGCAUACCAGGGGAGCCCGGAGUGGCCAGGUUGUCCAAGGAGGAACGCACCGGGCGAGGCCCGAAAGGGUUGCAGCCCAGUCAAUAUCGCGGGACCCUAUCCUUU
rnacentral:SRP_RNA from 1 species